AACGAACGCUGGCGGCAUGCCUAACACAUGCAAGUCGAACGAGACCUUCGGGUCUAGUGGCGCACGGGUGCGUAACGCGUGGGAACCUGCCCUUAGGUUCGGAAUAACUCCCCGAAAGGGGUGCUAAUACCGGAUAAUGUCUUCGGACCAAAGAUUUGUCGCCUUUGGAUGGGCCCGCGUUGGAUUAGCUAGUUGGUAGGGUAAAAGCCUACCAAGGCGACGAUCCAUAGCUGGUCUGAGAGGAUGAUCAGCCACACUGGGACUGAGACACGGCCCAGACUCCUACGGGAGGCAGCAGUGGGGAAUAUUGGACAAUGGGCGAAAGCCUGAUCCGGCAAUGCCGCGUGAGUGAUGAAGGCCUUAGGGUUGUAAAGCUCUUUUACCCGGGAUGAUAAUGACAGUACCGGGAGAAUAAGCUCCGGCUAACUCCGUG
rnacentral:rRNA from 1 species